CCUACGGGAGGCAGCAGUAGGGAAUAUUGCUCAAUGGGGGAAACCCUGAAGCAGCAACGCCGCGUGGAGGAUGAAGGUUUUCGGAUUGUAAACUCCUUUUGUUAGAGAAGAUAAUGACGGUAUCUAACGAAUAAGCACCGGCUAACUCCGUGCCAGCAGCCGCGGUAAUACGGAGGGUGCAAGCGUUACUCGGAAUCACUGGGCGUAAAGAGCGCGUAGGCGGGAUAGCAAGUCAGAUGUGAAAUCCUAUGGCUUAACCAUAGAACUGCAUUUGAAACUGGUAUUCUAGAGUAUGGGAGAGGUAGGUGGAAUUCUUGGUGUAGGGGUGAAAUGCGUAGAGAUCAAGAGGAAUACUCAUUGCGAAGGCGACCUGCUAGAACAUAACUGACGCUGAUGCGCGAAAGCGUGGGGAGCAAACAGGAUUAGAUACUCCUGUAGUC
rnacentral:rRNA from 1 species